UCUAUCUGUAAUUGUUACAGAUAAAGGACUAUAUCACAAAAGAUAUUUGAGUAUCUGCGAGAUUGUAAUAGUUGGUUAUGAACACAACUCUAUCACAUAAGAUAUUUGAGUAUCUGUGAGAUCGUGAUAAUGGGUUAUUGAUAGAGCCAAAUUUAGACCAUUUUAUCAUGUUGUCAUUAAUGUUAAUUUACACUUUUUCUGCUUAAUUCUGUGGUUUUGAUCUUAUUUUGCAGAAAAUGGUGUAAAGAGGUAAUUUGGUGAAAAUGCUCUUAAAACUGCCUAAAAAGGGAUAAAGGAGAACAAGUUUGUUGCCCAAGUCAAGUUGCAGCUGAAGUGAAGAUAAAUAAGGAAAGUGGUAAAUAAGGAAAAUACAUUCAGCAGAGUAAUUUGAAAUUCAAAUUUCAAAUCUUCAAGAAGUCUUUCCCUUAUUCAAGAAGCCAAAUCUCAAGAAGAUGCACAUUCAAAAUUCAAAAUUCAAAAUUCAGCUUGUUUAGGAAGCCAAAUCUCAAGAAGACAUACUUGCCUCCCAAGUAAUCAAGGUUCAAAAUUCAAAAUUCAAAAUUCAAAAGAAGGCUCCACCUCAUCAAGGAGACCUAGGGCAACACUUUCAACUAUAAAAAGACACAUAAGGGGCCGCUCCAUGCCUUCUCUACUCUCCCUUGGACACACAUACGGGAUUGCAAGUGGUCACACUUCUCCAAGCCAAGCCACCGACCACCAUCUCUUUUUCUUCUCUUACUUUUAUUUUUUAUUUUGUUUCAACCAUGAGCGGUUGAAACCCUUUUUUCUAGUUGCAGAUUAGGUGAAACUUUGGUUGUUUUAUGGAUUGGAAAAUCUGAACAUAUAUUGUUUAUCUUUUAUUUUUUAAUAUUUAUGCAAUUUCAUACUUAAUUCCAUUGUUGCUUUGUGGUUUAGAUAAAUAAGGCCAAUUGAUUCUUGAUUGCAAGGUAAUAAUUUGUUAGUUUGGAUAGUUUUAAGUCCGUAAUUGCUUGAAUUAUUCAAACACAAGUAACUCUUGGUGUAAAAACUAAGGAAAUAGCAUGAUCUAGCAAUAUCACCAUGCGUUUGGGUAGCUAGAAUUAGGUCUCUUUAUUUCUUUAUGCAAUUGACAGUUGUUAGAUGCCAAAGGCCCAAGGACGUUCCUUAGCAACUUGUUGAUUAGUAAUUAAUUAGAGGACGUUUCCUAAUUAAUUUAUGCUUAAGGAGGGAUAUGGUGGUGAGAAGCGUCUUCCAUCUCUAUAACUAAUUUAUUGAAUCAAACAAAGGGACCUAAGUUUCAAUGAUCAAUCCGAACAACUGAAGUGGAUCCAAUUCUUCAAUUAGAGCUUUUCUUAUAUUUGAAUCUUCUUUACUUUUAUUAUAUGCUUUACUUUAUUGCUUUCAGUAUUAGUUUAAUUCAAUCAAUCUCAAAACCCCCAUUUUAUUUUACUUUCAGUUUAUUUACUUGGUUUUGAUAAGGAAAAUAAGUAAGUAUCAAUUCCCUGUGGAUUCGAUCCUUUUGCCACUAUCUACAGUUGUAAAAUUGUUGAUAACCAAAAAGGUUAUUUUUGACUGACUUCGACAACCGCACAGUAAAAAAUUGGCACCGUUGCCGGGGAGUUGAUUUAACUAAUUUGUUUUUCUUUCAUGAUCAGAUCUGAACGCAAGAAAACUCUACCUUACAAUCCAGAAAUUGAGUGAACAAUCAAGCGACUUGGGAAGCAAGUCAAUCCGAGGAACUAAGCCUCAAAGCCACCCUUAACAAUGCUGCUGAACAAUCACCUUUUGCACCUACUGCCAAGACUACUGUCUAAGAAACAGAACAAUUUUGUCCACUUGCUGCUGAAAUCAAAGCUGAAUCCGCUGUCAAACUUUCUGUUCCGAGAAACAAAACCAGCUGCUGUCCAAAAGGCAGCUAUAAACACUGCUGCACAACACACUUUUGCUGAAGAAAAUUCUGUAGCACCUGCUGUCAAACGUCCAGAAUUUGUUGCUGUCCAAGCUGCUGAAAACAGAGACAGCAACUGCCCACCACCUGUUGCUGUCCAAGAACAGCAACCUGCUGAAGCUGCUAUAUAUGCUGAAAUUGAGCCACAAAGCACCAAUACCAAAAGAAAGAACACUGAGAGAGUUGGCAGCCCCUGUGGAUGAUUAAGCACUAUGGUGCAUCACUUACCCCACCUUUGACAGCCCCCUUUUGAGCUCAAAACAGGUUUGAUACAUCUACUACCUAAAUUUAGAGGUUUGGAGAAUGAAAAUCCACAUAAGCACUUGAAAGAAUUUCACAAAAUAUGUUCAUCCAUGAGGUCGCAAGGCAUAUCUGAAGAGCAUGUAAAACUGAGAGCGUUCCCAUUCUCACUUGAUGAUUAUGUCAAAGAUUGGUUAUUUUACCUAUCACCCGGAUCAAUCACUUCUUGGGAUGGUAUGGUUAGAGCCUUUUUGAAUAAAUAUCUCCCAACUUCUAAAGCCAUAGGCAUAAGAAGAGAGAUAAGUGGCAUAAAGUAAAAAGAAACUGAGGACUUGUAUGAUUAUUGGAAAAGAUUUAAGAGAUUGUGCACAAGCUGUCCUCAACAUGACAUUUUAGAUAAAUCACUCAUUGAAUUCUUCUAUGCAGGUUUGCUACCAUCUGAAAGAAAAUUCAUUAAUGUAGCAUGUGGAGGUUUAAUUGCAGAUAGAACACCCAUUAGAGAGUUGAUUUCAAUACUUGCAGCAUCCUCAAGACAAAAGCAACUGCAAAGAGGAGUCAAUGAGGUAUGUACAUCUGUUCUCACUUCUCAAAUUUCUAAACUAACCUCUGCUGUGAAAAGUCUUGUCAUAGGUCAAGCUUAAUAAGCUCAAAAGCUUCAUCAAACUAGACCAUGUGGGAUAUGUGCACAUGUAGGACACCCAACUGAUCAAUUUCCUACACUUCAUGAGGAUGACUAGCAAGUAAAUGCAAUUGGAGGAUUCAAUAGCCAGCCAAGACAUGAUCCCUACUCUAACACCUACAAUCUAGGUUGGAGGGACCAUUCGAACUUCAGCUAUGCAAGGGCUAACAACCACCAAAACUAUCAAAGAAAUCCAGCACCUCUAAGUUUCAAUAUGCACCUUGAGGAGAUGAUGAAGACAUUAGCUAAUUUUGUGCAAAGCCUCCAACAGAAGAUAGGUCAAAUAGCCACCUCAGUGAGCAGGCUUAAAUCUCAAGGUAAGUUACCUUCGCAAACUGAGACCAAUCCCAUACAAAAUGUAAGUGCUAUCAGGUUAAGAAGUGGGAAAGAGCUUCAAGAUGUCAAGGCUGAUGAUGAAAGUUCACAAGUGCAAAGACAAGCUGCUGAAGAAAAAUAGUCAGAAAACUGUCUGUCCAAACAGACUGUGCAAACAACACCAGUACACCAGCAGAAUACAAAUCAACAAGUAAGUUUCAAGAUUUCACCUCCCUUUCCAAAAAGGUUUGAAAAAUCACAAAAAGAAAAAGAAGAAAAAGAGAUCUUUGACACCUUCAGGAAAGUGGAGAUUAACAUACAUUUGCUAGAUGCUGUGAAACAAAUUUCCAGGUAUGCAAAAUUUUUGAAAGAACUGUGCACUAACCGUAGAAAGCUUGCUGAGAAAGAAAAGGUAAGUGUGGGAGAAGUUGUGACAGCUGUCAUAAAAAGAGAACUCCCAGCCAAGUGUAAAGAUAGAGGGAUGUUUGCUGUCUCUUGCAAAAUUGGCAAUGUGGGCAUCAAAAAGGCCAUGUGUGACUUAGGUGCAUCAAUUAAUGUUAUGCCUCUUUCUAUUUAUAAUUCUUUGAAUGCAGGUACACUUAAAAACACAAGAGUGGUUAUUCAAUUGGCUAACAGAUCUGUAGUACAUCCAAAAGGAGUUAUAGAAGAUGUUCGAGUGCAAGUAGAUCAACUUGUCUUUCCAGCAGAUUUCUAUGUGAUUGAUAUGGAGGAAGACAAUAGUAACACUACUUCAGACAUCCUACUUGGACGACAUUUCUUGAGCACAGCCAUAACUAAGAUAGAUGUGCAUGAUGGCACAUUGACCAUGGAAUUUGAAGGGGAAGUAAUCAAAUUUAAUAUUUAUGAUGCUAUGAAAUAUCCCCAUGACAUGUCUCCUGUUUAUGGUUUAGAUAUCAUUGAUUGUUUGAGCCACGAAGUUUUUGAUAUGAAUCAAGAUGAUAUGCUAAACAAUGACUUUUGCAGGGAGACUAGCCAAAAAGAUGAAGGAAGCCAAAAGGAGCCAAAACUGAAAGCAAAAGUCUGCUACCUUCAGUAGAUGGACUGCGACCAAACGCAGUUGAGCAUUGGACCGCCCAUCCCCCUUCUAAAAGAUGAAGUCAAAUCGCCCACACCAAUGGAGCAUGCGGAAUCCAGUUCAGCCAGAAACCAAAUGCAGACAGACCCUUAUCUGCCCAAUCAGAAGCUCCCUAUGUAGCAACUUUCAGAAUCUGAAGAGAAUGGCUUCUAUGAACAAAUCUUCCAUGCCCAAACUGAUGAACCAUGGCGUGUAGACAAAAUAAAGAAGAGUGCAAGACACGAUAUUUGGGAUGACCCAUACCUGAAACCAUACUAUGAAGGGUUCACAGUGCAAAAGGUGGAUUUAGUUUCAUUAAAUCAUCCUCCUCAGUUUGCUUAGUGUUUCGCACCACACAAACCACACCAGGGGAGUACUCAGUUUCCUUUGAACUUUAAUAUGUCCAAUACAUUGAGGACAAUGCAUGGAUUAGGUGUGGGGUGCAUAUCUCUGAAUUUUUAUUUUAAGUCAUUUUUUUAGCUUAAAUUUUUUUUUUUUAGUUUGCACACAUUUUUCAUUUUUGUUAUUUUUGCCUUUAUUGAAUACACAAGUAGCCACAGUUCUUUCUUUUUUCUGUUUUGGUAUGCUUUACUCAAACACAUAGGCUAUGUUGAAUGAGCUUUCUUUCCAUGACCCCAUUGAUGUGAUGACUCUUUAAACCUAUGUUGAAUCAAUUGCAGUGAGUUGUAUUCAUUGUUGGGAAUUUCCUUUUGAAUUGAAUCUUUGAAGCUUGCCAUGGUGAAAAAUAUAUGACAUUACUCAUUAGAGAGAAUAAUAAAGAUGUGUGAAACAAACAUGACUUAUUCUAGCAAUUGGUGUUGAUUUGUCCAAUUCUUUGAGAAAAAGAAAUUCAGCAAAGGCAAAGACUUCAAAAGCACAAAUGAAAACUGUUCCAAUGGUCAAAAGACAAUGAACAAAGCUAGUAGCCACUUGGACAGGUGACCAACUGAGUAACUGGGGGUGGGUAUCACAAAUAUGCACCUUUACGUCAAAAGGUUGGUGACUUUUUCAAGCAAGAAUAAAAGUGCAAAAGGCUUAAUAAAGUGCUUCAAGGUAAGGGCAAAUCACUUCGAAAGCUAGGAAAAGUUUUAACUGAACAAGAAUAUGUGUAUGUAUAAUCUCUCUCUUGAGAAAAACAAAUACUAGCCAUGGUAGGUAAAGGGAGACAAGGGAAGAAGGAGAGUAACCUUGGUGCAUACACUCUUCACUGCAAUGCUUCAAGGUAAGGGUCUAGAGUAAGAGCUUAUGUGGAAAUAAAGGAUCAAGUAGCAAAGAGAGCUUGUUUGACUAAGUUUAUUUGCUUAAGGACAAGCAAAAGACUAGGUGUGGGGAUAUUUGAUAGAGCCAAAUUUAGACCAUUUUAUCAUGUUGUUAUUAAUAUUAAUUUAUACUUUUUCUGCUUAAUUCUGUGGUUUUGAUCUUAUUUUGCAGAAAAUGGUGUAAAGAGGUAAUUUGGUGAAAAUGCUCUUAAAACUGCCUAAAAAGGGAUAAAGGAGAACAAGUUUGUUGCCCAAGUCAAGUUGCAGCUGAAGUGAAGAUAAAUAAG
rnacentral:lncRNA from 1 species